AAAAGGCUCAGAUGAUGAUGAUGA
rnacentral:miRNA from 1 species